rnacentral:snRNA from 1 species
GGAUAAGAAGGCAAUGUGGUUGUGAUAUCUGUCACCCCAUUGAUUUCCAGGCUUGAGUCAGCAGAUCUGGCUGCCGAGGUGGGUGCUUGUUCCUCCUCUACUUGCGCAUCCCUCCCAAAGCUGAGCUCUGCCAGAGAAUUACAUUCCCAGAUAGAGGAAGACAGUCCCUCCAUCAAGGGUGUAGGAAGAGCUGUGCUUCCCUUCUAGAGUCUCUAAAAAAGUCUCAAUUUAAUUUGCUAUAGUAAUUGUUGGAAAUAUAUAAUAUACUGAUACUUUUUCUUUUGACAUUUAUGAAAUGUUUUCAUUAUUCAAU